GGACACUGCACAAAAGGCAGAAGAAAAAAGAAAUACUUGCAAAGGAAGAACCAAAGAAGCCAUCUGUUAGGCCACCUAUUAUCCAUCGAUAUAGGAGGAGUGGCAGGAAAGUAAUUGUUGGAGGUAGUUGGUGCAUGGGAGUGAGGGACGUGAGGGAAUGUAGGGAAUUGGUCAGUAGGGACCAAUGAGAGAGAAAGAAUUGUG
rnacentral:misc_RNA from 1 species